GCCGAUGUAGCUCAAGAGGAAGAGCGACUGACUUGUAAUCAGUAGGUUGCCAGUUCGAUUCUGGCCAUCGGCU
rnacentral:tRNA from 1 species